UACGAAGGGGGCUAGCGUUGCUCGGAAUCACUGGGCGUAAAGGGUGCGUAGGCGGGUCUUUAAGUCAGGGGUGAAAUCCUGGAGCUCAACUCCAGAACUGCCUUUGAUACUGAAGAUCUUGAGUUCGGGAGAGGUGAGUGGAACUGCGAGUGUAGAGGUGAAAUGCGUAGGUAUUCGCAAGAACACCGGUGGCGAAGGCGGGUCUCUGGGCCGAUACUGACGCUGAGGAGCGAAAGCAUGGGUAGCGAACAGG
rnacentral:rRNA from 1 species